rnacentral:tRNA from 1 species
UCAGAAAGUAGUUUUAAAAAAAAAUUUUAGUUUUGGGAAUUAAUGAUAGAGCUAGUUAGGUUCUCUUUCUGAA